rnacentral:rRNA from 1 species
GACGAACCGUGCGAACGUUGUUCGGAAUCACUGGGCUUAAAGGGCGCGUAGGCGGGCUGUCAAGUCUGGGGUGAAAUGCUGCGGCUCAACCGUAGAACUGCCUUAGAUACUGAUGGCCUCGAGGAAGGUAGGGGCAUGCGGAACUGUAGGUGGAGCGGUGAAAUGCGUUGAUAUCUACAGGAACUCCGGUGGCGAAAGCGGCGUGCUGGACCUUUUCUGACGCUGAGGCGCGAAAGCUAGGGGAGCAAACGGG